GACGAACGCUGGCGGCGUGCUUAACACAUGCAAGUCGAACGAUGAAGGAGGAGCUUGCUCCUCUGGAUUAGUGGCGAACGGGUGAGUAACACGUGAGCAAUCUGCCCUUGACUCUGGGAUAAGCGCUGGAAACGGCGUCUAAUACCGGAUACGACCCUCGGAGGCAUCUCCUGUGGGUGGAAAGAACUUCGGUCAAGGAUGAGCUCGCGGCCUAUCAGCUUGUUGGUGAGGUAACGGCUCACCAAGGCGACGACGGGUAGCCGGCCUGAGAGGGUGACCGGCCACACUGGGACUGAGACACGGCCCAGACUCCUACGGGAGGCAGCAGUGGGGAAUAUUGCACAAUGGGCGCAAGCCUGAUGCAGCAACGCCGCGUGAGGGACGACGGCCUUCGGGUUGUAAACCUCUUUUAGCAGGGAAGAAGCGAGAGUGACGGUACCUGCAGAAAAAGCAUCGGCUAACUACGUGCCAGCCGCCGCCGUAACAC
rnacentral:rRNA from 1 species